rnacentral:rRNA from 1 species
AAUCUUGCGCAAUGGAGGAAACUCUGACGCAGCCACGCCGCGUGAAGGAAGACACCCCUAUGGGGCGUAAACUUCUUUUAUAUGGGAAGAACUCCCUGCUCGGCAGGGUCUGACGGUACCAUAUGAAUAAGCACCGGCUAACUCCGUGCCAGCAGCCGCGGUAAUACGGAGGGUGCAAGCGUUGUCCGGAAUCACUGGGUGUAAAGGGUGUGUAGGCGGGGCAGUAAGUCAGAGGUGAAAGCCCACGGCUCAACCGUGGAAUUGCCUUUGAUACUGCUGUUCUUGAGUCCUGGAGAGGUCGCCGGAAUCCGUGGUGUAGCGGUGAAAUGCGUAGAUAUCACGAGGAACACCGGAGGUGUAGACGGGUGACUGGACAGGUACUGACGCUGAGGCACGAAAGCGUGGGGAGCAAACAGGAUUAGAUACCCUGGUAGUCCACGCCGUA